CAGGCCUAACACAUGCAAGUCGCACGGGUGGGUUUCGGCUCAUCAGUGGCGGACGGGUGAGUAUCGCGUAGGUAUCUGUCCUGAGGUGGGGGAUAACCACGGGAAACUGUGGCUAAUACCGCAUGAUGACUGAGGUCCAAAGGCAGUGAUGUUGCCUUAGGAGGAGCCUGCGUCUGAUUAGCUUGUUGGUGGGGUAAAGGCCUACCAAGGCGAUGAUCGGUAGCUGGUCUGAGAGGAUGGCCAGCCACAUUGGGACUGAGACACGGCCCAAACUCCUACGGGAGGCAGCAGUGGGAAUAUUGGACAAUGGGCGCAAGCCUGAUCCAGCCAUGCCGCGUGAGUGAUGACGGCCUUAGGGUUGUAAAGCUCUCUCGCCCGCGACGAUAAUGACGGUAGCGGGAGAAGAAGCCCCGGCUAACUUCGUGCCAGCAGCCGCGGUAAU
rnacentral:rRNA from 1 species